CUNAGAGUUGACCUGGCUCCGAAUCACGCGAGCGGCGUGCCUAACACAUGCAAGUCGGACGCGAAAGCCCCGCAAGGGGCCGGUAGAGUGGCGCACGGGUGAGUAACACGUGGAUAACCUGCCUGGCAGAGGGGACUAACCUCCCGAAAGGGGGGCUAAUGCCGCAUAAGACCUCUAGGCGCAAGUCUGGGGGUUGAAAGGGGAGACCCGCUGGCAGAGGGGUCCGCGCCUGAUUAGCUAGUUGGUGAGGUAACGGCUCACCAAGGCUACGAUCAGUAGCCGUCCUGAGAGGGAGCACGGCCACACUGGAACUGAGACACGGUCCAGACUCCUACGGGAGGCAGCAGUGGGGAAUUUUUGGCAAUGGGGGCAACCCUGACCAAGCAACGCCGCGUGGGUGAGGAGGUACCUUGGUACGUAAAGCCCUUUCGGCAGGGACGAAGAAGGUGACGGUACCUGCAGAAGAAGCCCCGGCUAACUCCGUGCCAGCAGCCGCGGUAAUACGGGGGGGGCGAGCGUUGUUCGGAAUCACUGGGCGUAAAGGGCGCGUAGGCGGCCCGCACAAGUCUGCGGUGAAAACCUCCGGCUUAACCGGGGGCCGGCCGUGGAAACUGUCGGGCUGGAGGCUGGGAGAGGGCAGCGGAAUUCCCGGUGUAGCGGUGAAAUGCGUAGAGAUCGGGAGGAACACCGGCGGCGAAGGCGGCUGCCUGGACCAGUCCUGACGCUGAGGCGCGAAAGCUAGGGGAGCAAACAGGAUUAGAUACCCUGGUAGUCCACGCCCUAAACGAUGUCAACUGGUUGUUGGACGGCUUGCUGUUCAGUAACGAAGCUAACGCGUGAAGUUGACCGCCUGGGGAGUACGGCCGCAAGGUUGAAACUCAAAGGAAUUGACGGGGACCCGCACAAGCGGUGGAUGAUGUGGUUUAAUUCGAUGCAACGCGAAAAACCUUACCUACCCUUGACAUGCUAGGAAUCUCGCAGAGAUGUGAGAGUGCUCGAAAGAGAACCUAGACACAGGUGCUGCAUGGCCGUCGUCAGCUCGUGUCGUGAGAUGUUGGGUUAAGUCCCGCAACGAGCGCAACCCUCAUCAUUAGUUGCUACGCAAGGGCACUCUAAUGAGACUGCCGGUGACAAACCGGAGGAAGGUGGGGAUGACGUCAGGUCAUCAUGGCCCUUAUGGGUAGGGCUACACACGUCAUACAAUGGCCGGUACAGAGGGCUGCCAACCCGCGAGGGGGAGCUAAUCUCAGAAAACCGGUCGUAGUCCGGAUCGCAGUCUGCAACUCGACUGCGUGAAGUCGGAAUCGCUAGUAAUCGCGGAUCAGCUUGCCGCGGUGAUACGUUCCCGGUCUGCACUCACCGC
rnacentral:rRNA from 1 species